AUUUCUCCCCUCAUGAGGAUCCGGAUCGAGACAGUGACUGCAGACCUGACUUGAUACUUGGGGGCCAAUCCUGAAAAUUCCUAACAAUGAGCUUCACCUGUGCAGCUGAAAACAACUCGCUUUUUUGUGCCCCUCUGUGUACAUUUCACCUGGAAAAUGGAGCUCACAUGUGACCAUAAGCCCAACAACACUCACAGCUUUGGCCACUGGAGGCAGUGUCUCGAAUUUUGCUCCUGUCCUUAAUCCCCACCCUCGGACAAUCUAGACUAUAGAACAGAAAAUCAAGUGCUUCUACAGCAACCCCACUUCCUGCUAUUCUAUGGCAUUUCCUCC